rnacentral:lncRNA from 1 species
CCACCCCACCGACGACGAGCUGGUGGAGCACUACCUGUGCCGCAAGGCGGCGGGGCAGCGCCUGCCCGUGCCCAUCAUCGCCGAGGUCGACCUCUACCGCUUCGACCCGUGGGCGCUCCCCGACCGCGCCCUCUUCGGCACCCGCGAGUGGUACUUCUUCACGCCCCGCGACCGCAAGUACCCCAACGGAUCCCGCCCCAACCGCGCCGCCGGCAACGGCUACUGGAAGGCCACCGGCGCCGACAAG